UACGUAGGUGGCAAGCGUUGUCCGGAAUUACUGGGUGUAAAGGGAGCGUAGGCGGGAAAGCAAGUUGAAUGUUUAAGGUACGGGCUCAACCUGUACAAGCGUUCAAAACUGUUUUUCUUGAGUGGAGUAGAGGUAAGCGGAAUUCCUAGUGUAGCGGUGAAAUGCGUAAAAAUUAGGAGGAACACCAGUGGCGAAGGCGGCUUACUGGGCUUUAACUGACGCUGAGGCUCGAAAGCGUGGGUAGCAAACAGG
rnacentral:rRNA from 1 species